UGUGCUUCAUUCCUAUGUUCCACAUCUACGGGCUCGCUUUCUUUGGUCUUGGAUUGUUUUGCUCAGGAAUCACCACUGUUUUGAUGCAAAAGUUUGAGUUCAACACCAUGUUGGAUGCUAUAAAAACUCACAAGGUGAGUAACAUACCUGCCGUGCCACCGGUGAUUCUUGGACUAGUAAAGUAUGCAAGCAAAGCUGCGUGUGACUUGUCGUCGUUAAGGAGAGUAAGUUCAGGAGCUGCACCAUUGAGCAAAGAAGUAGUUGAUGAGUUCAGAGAGAG
rnacentral:lncRNA from 1 species